GAAACACUGAUCUAUGUUACACAUCCAGUGGCCCAAGCACGGCACCUUGAGGGACUCCAUACGUAGUGCUGCUGUGUGAAGCACUCAGAUGAAAUCGAUCCCCCACAGGCACAAACACACCUGAGUCUGAUUUAUUAGAGGAAGUGAGCUCUGAUUGGCUGGAGGCGGUCAUGUGACAUCAGCUGUGGAGCAACAUAAACUAUGAUGAAGUCAUCAAAAAUCUGAUGUUUAUAGCUUCAUAUCGGAGAGCAGAAUGACAAAUGAAGAUAUAAAGUUUUCCACUCCCUCCCUGCAUCCUCCAUUUUGGUUUUAAGAAGCAGUGAUGGAGAGAGCGCCACCUAUCUCCAAUGAAAGGUAAUGUUGCAAUUUCCACCCAGGAGUUUUAGGGAAACCCAGAACAAACACCUGACAUGGAAACAGAUCUCAUUUUCUCCUU